rnacentral:rRNA from 1 species
ACGCUAUCACUCUACGGGAGGCAGCAGUGGGAAUAUUGCACAAUGGGGGAAACCCUGAUGCAGCCAUGCCGCGUGUNUGAAAGAAGGCCUUCGGGUUGUAAAGCACUUUCAGUAGGGAGGAAGGUAGUGUAGUUAACACCUGCAUUAUUUGACGUUACCUACAGAAGAAGCACCGGCUAACUCCCGUGCCAGCAGCCGCGGUAAUACGGAGGGUGCGAGCGUUAAUCGGAAUUACUGGGCGUAAAGCGCAUGCAGGCGGCCUGUUAAGUCAGAUGUGAAAGCCCGGGGCUUAACCUCGGAAUUGCAUUUGAAACUGGCAGGCUAGAGUCUUGUAGAGGGGGGUAGAAUUUCAGGUGUAGCGGUGAAAUGCGUAGAGAUCUGAAGGAAUACCAGUGGCGAAGGCGGCCCCCUGGACAAAGACUGACGCUCAGAUGCGAAAGCGUGGGGAGCAAACAGGAUUAGAUACCCUGGUAG